rfam:Echinococcus multilocularis genomic scaffold, pathogen_EmW_scaffold_04
AAGUGCUCUGAUUGUCCAUUCGCAUUUCUUGCUGCUCUCGUGUACAAUUCACUGUUCUUCAAGAUGUGUGUAUGGGCAUCGCAGUACUU